UUUUUCUUGGUACGCUGCUUCUUCAGAGCAAUACGCCGCCGUUUGUGCUGCAGGACACGUGGAGUAACAAGACGCUGAAUCUUGGGUGCUUUGGUCCUAGGAAUGCCCCUUACUCAGUAGCAGGCGGACACGGCCAUGGGUCAAGACACCCUGCUUCAUGGGGAAACCUUGUUUGUCGUUCCCACCACUGAUUCGGACCA
rnacentral:lncRNA from 1 species